GUUAAGAUUGUAAAUAAAAACAAAAAAGUCUUUGUAGAUUACUUAUUUGUAGCAUUACUUUUUUGUAGCAGGUCGAUGUAAAUGUUUGUCUGUAGAAAAUAAGUUUAUCGAAUCAUCGGUGAAGUUUUCUCAUUUUUACUCCAGAAAUAUUGAUGAAAAAAAUACUAAUCAAGUCGGAUGCCUAAUAACUAUGUUUUCAAGAGCAACCAGAUAUCAUGGACGUAUCAGCAGAGCCGUUUUUAAAAUGUAAUCGAAAUGUCGGAAACUUGAGUUUUCAGUUAGUGUCCAUCUUUCCCACCCCAGGUGUCAGUCUUUCCCGUCAAGUGCCGUCUUUCCCGACUCAUUCUUAUUUUUUAUAAGAUGCCAGACACAUUGAUUUUGCAAAAUUUCGGCCUCAAGAACAAAUUUUAUUAUAAAAAGAGACAAUUUGUGGGGAGAUAGCUAUAUAUGUCUUGUGUGUCAUAUAUGAUCGAGUCCGUCUGUAGUUGCAAACGUUGAGCCCUGCACCAUUAUUGCUACGCUUUCAGUCAGCUCCCAUCAAGUGAGCGAGAGAACACUUUACGGAAGGAGCUUGCACAAAAUCAGUGUCGGUCCCAGCUCCCAGAGAUAUUUAUUUGAUACAAAUUUGACAAUCGGAGAUUCUACUAAAUGUAGUCACAUUUUUUACACAUCCGAAUACCAACCAUAACUUUGUUUAUUUGCUUACUUUAUAACCAUCGGUCCCAGUCGGGGCUCUGGCAACCCUAUCCCAACCAAUACAAAUUGAGCGUAGGCAAAAUAAAGCAGGACUCGCGCUCAGGGGGCUCACGGAUUGUUUACUG